AGAUUAUUUAUAAAAUAUUAUUUACAAUAAUAAAAAGUUUAUUAAUUUAAACAUAAUCUA
rnacentral:tRNA from 1 species